GGUUAAGCGACUAAGCGUACACGGUGGAUGCCCUGGCAGUCAGAGGCGAUGAAGGACGUGCUAAUCUGCGAUAAGCGUCGGUAAGGUGAUAUGAACCGUUAUAACCGGCGAUUUCCGAAUGGGGAAACCCAGUGUGAUUCGUCACACUAUCAUUAACUGAAUCCAUAGGUUAAUGAGGCGAACCGGGGGAACUGAAACAUCUAAGUACCCCGAGGAAAAGAAAUCAACCGAGAUUCCCCCAGUAGCGGCGAGCGAACGGGGAGCAGCCCAGAGCCUGAAUCAGUGUGUGUGUUAGUGGAAGCGUCUGGAAAGGCGCGCGAUACAGGGUGACAGCCCCGUACACAAAAAUGCACAUGCUGUGAGCUCGAUGAGUAGGGCGGGACACGUGGUAUCCUGUCUGAAUAUGGGGGGACCAUCCUCCAAGGCUAAAUACUCCUGACUGACCGAUAGUGAACCAGUACCGUGAGGGAAAGGCGAAAAGAACCCCGGCGAGGGGAGUGAAAAAGAACCUGAAACCGUGUACGUACAAGCAGUGGGAGCACGCUUAGGCGUGUGACUGCGUACCUUUUGUAUAAUGGGUCAGCGACUUAUAUUCUGUAGCAAGGUUAACCGAAUAGGGGAGCCGAAGGGAAACCGAGUCUUAACUGGGCGUUAAGUUGCAGGGUAUAGACCCGAAACCCGGUGAUCUAGCCAUGGGCAGGUUGAAGGUUGGGUAACACUAACUGGAGGACCGAACCGACUAAUGUUGAAAAAUUAGCGGAUGACUUGUGGCUGGGGGUGAAAGGCCAAUCAAACCGGGAGAUAGCUGGUUCUCCCCGAAAGCUAUUUAGGUAGCGCCUCGUGAAUUCAUCUCCGGGGGUAGAGCACUGUUUCGGCAAGGGGGUCAUCCCGACUUACCAACCCGAUGCAAACUGCGAAUACCGGAGAAUGUUAUCACGGGAGACACACGGCGGGUGCUAACGUCCGUCGUGAAGAGGGAAACAACCCAGACCGCCAGCUAAGGUCCCAAAGUCAUGGUUAAGUGGGAAACGAUGUGGGAAGGCCCAGACAGCCAGGAUGUUGGCUUAGAAGCAGCCAUCAUUUAAAGAAAGCGUAAUAGCUCACUGGUCGAGUCGGCCUGCGCGGAAGAUGUAACGGGGCUAAACCAUGCACCGAAGCUGCGGCAGCGACGCUUAUGCGUUGUUGGGUAGGGGAGCGUUCUGUAAGCCUGUGAAGGUGUACUGUGAGG
rnacentral:rRNA from 1 species